AGCUGCGGGGCUUGGGGGGUCAGGAGAGCCGGCUGGGAGAGGCGGCGUCAGGGUGGGUCCUGCGCCUGCCCUUUCCGCGCCGGCUUUGCGCCGUCGUUGCCGUCGGUUCUCCAGCCAGCAGCCUGCCUCCGGCCUCCCGCCUCCGGGCGUUCUUCGUUUUCUGGUCGGACGGGCCUGGGUGAACUCUGCUGCACGUCGGCUCCGCGGGCCUUUGUCCCCGAGGCCGCGCCGGGAGCUCCCAAGCGCACUCCUGGGCCGGACCUCGGCGCGGGACAAAAGCCAAACGCCCCAGGCGGGCAGACCCCGAUCCUGCUGCGCCGCCUUCAAGGGGGACCGCCGGCCGCGAGCCAGGUUGGGAUUUGCUGUGUUCCUGGGCAGGUGCCUGGUCAAUCAGUCCUCGGGAUGGCAGCCAUCAACCCGUGGGCCUCCUGGGGUGAGUCCAAGUUGUGUUUCUCCUGGGCCUCCCCUAUCAUUAGCUGCUGCAGUCAUGGGUCAGAGCUGGUGAUGGGCUGAGGACUUUUGAGGAUGGAAGGGGGUCUGUCUAUCUUGGUACAAAAUUAGAACU
rnacentral:lncRNA from 1 species